rnacentral:rRNA from 1 species
CGCGCAGGUGGUAGUGCAAGUCUGGGGUGGAAUCCCAGGGCUUAACCCUGGAACUGCCUUGGAAACUGUAUUACUUGAGUCAGUGAGGGGAGGGUAGAAUUCCUGGUGUAGCGGUGAAAUGCGUAGAUAUCAGGAGGAAGGCCUGUGGCGAAGGCGGCCCUCUGGCGCUGAACUGACACUGAGGCGCGAAAGCGUGGGGAGCAAACAGGAUUAGAUACCCUGGUAGUCCACGCCCUAAACGGUGGGUACUAGGUGUAGGGCUCGUAAGGGUUCUGUGCCGAAGCGAAAGCAUUAAGUACCCCGCCUGGGGAGUACGGCCGCAAGGUUGAA